CGGAGGGGAAACACCCGUUCCCAUCUCGAACACGGCAGUUAAGCCCUCCAGCGCCGAUGGUACUGCAGUUUCUGUGGGAGAGUAGGACGUUGCCAGGA
rnacentral:rRNA from 1 species